rnacentral:lncRNA from 1 species
AGGAGUCAUCCACACGAGCCCACGAAUCUCGAUCAGAAGUCUUGCUCCAGAAAAUCAGUACAGUAUGCUAAUACUGCGCUGAUCCUUCUUCGAUGGUUGAUCAGAUUCCUCCUUCUUCUUAAUUUAGACUCUUCCAAAGAUGAGAAAUAGGAGGAGGAGUUUUAGAUCUGAGACGCUCUCAAAAAAACUCAAGAUGGAGGAAGG